rnacentral:tRNA from 1 species
GAAGAAGAGGCGAUCUGGAAGCAAGCUCUCUUGAAAAGAGUCGCUCUAUUGUGGAGUAGUAGGUUCGAAUCCUGCCUUCUUCG